rnacentral:rRNA from 1 species
GAUGAACGCUGGCGGCGUGCCUAAUACAUGCAAGUCGAGCGAACAGACGAGGAGCUUGCUCCUCUGACGUUAGCGGCGGACGGGUGAGUAACACGUGGAUAACCUACCUAUAAGACUGGGAUAACUUCGGGAAACCGGAGCUAAUACCGGAUAAUAUAUUGAACCGCAUGGUUCAAUAGUGAAAGACGGUAUUGCUGUCACUUAUAGAUGGAUCUGCGCCGCAUUAGCUAGUUGGUAAGGUAACGGCUUACCAAGGCAACGAUGCGUAGCCGACCUGAGAGGGUGAUCGGCCACACUGGAACUGAGACACGGUCCAGACUCCUACGGGAGGCAGCAGUAGGGAAUCUUCCGCAAUGGGCGAAAGCCUGACGGAGCAACGCCGCGUGAGUGAUGAAGGUCUUCGGAUCGUAAAACUCUGUUAUUAGGGAAGAACAAAUGUGUAAGUAACUAUGCACGUCUUGACGGUACCUAAUCAGAAAGCCACGGCUAACUACGUG